UGCAGAGGAUGUUUCUGGCGCGGUGCCUUCCGAGUUCCCUGGAACGGGACGCCAUAGAGGGUGAGAGCCCCGUAUGGUUGGAUACCAAGCCUGUGUGAAACUCCUUCGACGAGUCGAGUAGUUUGGGAAUGCUGCUCAAAAUGGGAGGUAAAUCUCUUCUAAAGCUAAAUAUUGGCCAGAGACCGAUAGCGCACAAGUAGAGUGAUCGAAAGAUGAAAAGCACCUUGAAAAGGGGGUUAAACAGUACGUGAAAUUGUUGAAAGGGAAGCGCUCAUGACCAGACUUGUGCUGGGCAGCUCAUCCGGGGUUCUCCCCGGUGCAUUCUGCCCAGUUCAGGCCAGCAUCGAUUUUUGCUGGGGGAUAAGAACGGUAGGAACGUGGCCCUCCUUCGGGAGGGUGUUAUAGCCUACCGUACGAUACCCUAGCGGAGAUCGAGGUUCGCGCAUCUGCAAGGAUGCUGGCGUAAUGGUCAUCAGCGACCCGUCUUGAAACACGGACCAAGGAGUCGUCCAUUAGAGCGAGCGUUUGGGUGUAAAACCCGCACGCGUAAUGAAAGUGAAAUUAGGUGAGAGCUUCGGCGCAUCAUCGACCGAUCCUGAUGUUCUCGGAUGGAUUUGAGUAAGAGUUUUAACGGACGGACCCGAAAGACAGUGAACUAUGCUUGUAUAGGGUGAAGCCAGAGGAAACUCUGGUGGAGGCUCGCAGCGGUUCUGACGUGCAAAUCGAUCGUCAAAUAUGAGCAUGGGGGCGAAAGACUAAUCGAACUGUCUAGUAGCUGGUUACCGCCGAAGUUUCCCUCAGGAUAGCAGUGUUGACCUUCAGUUUUAUGAGGUAAAGCGAAUGAUUAGGGACUCGGGGGCGCUUUUUAGCCUUCAUCCAUUCUCAAACUUUAAAUAUGUAAGAAGCCCUUGUUACUUAGUUGAACGUGGGCAUUCGAAUGUAUCAACACUAGUGGGCCAUUUUUGGUAAGCAGAA
rnacentral:rRNA from 1 species